rnacentral:rRNA from 1 species
GACAGAGGGUGCAAACGUUGUUCGGAAUUACUGGGCGUAAAGCGAGUGUAGGCGGUUUGGAAAGUCGGAUGUGAAAGCCCCGGGCUCAACCCGGGAAGUGCACUCGAUACUCCCAAGCUAGAGUAUCGGAGAGGUUGGCGGAAUUCUCGGUGUAGUGGUGAAAUUCGUAGAUAUCGAGAGGAACACCGGCGGCGAAGGCGGCCAACUGGACGAAUACUGACGCUGAGACUCGAAAGCGUGGGGAGCAAACAGG